rnacentral:rRNA from 1 species
CCUACGGGGGGCAGCAGUGGGGAAUAUUGCACGAUGGGCGCAGGCCUGAUGCAGCCAUGCCGCGUGUGUGAAGAAGGCCUUCGGGUUGUAAAGCACUUUCAGCGGGGAGGAAGGCGUUAAGGUUAAUAACCUUGUCGAUUGACGUUACCCGCAGAAGAAGCACCGGCUAACUCCGUGCCAGCAGCCGCGGUAAUACGGAGGGUGCAAGCGUUAAUCGGAAUUACUGGGCGUAAAGCGCACGCAGGCGGUCUGUCAAGUCGGAUGUGAAAUCCCCGGGCUCAACCUGGGAACUGCAUUCGAAACUGGCAGGCUAGAGUCUUGUAGAGGGGGGUAGAAUUCCAGGUGUAGCGGUGAAAUGCGUAGAGAUCUGGAGGAAUACCGGUGGCGAAGGCGGCCCCCUGGACAAAGACUGACGCUCAGGUGCGAAAGCGUGGGGAGCAAACAGGAUUAGAUACCCUUGUAGUC